CGUGUAGGCGGUCCGGUAAGUCCGCUGUGAAAGUCGGGGGCUCAACCCUCGGAUGCCGGUGGAUACUGUCGGGCUUGAGUACGGAAGAGGCGAGUGGAAUUCUUGGUGUAGCGGUGAAAUGCGCAGAUAUCAGGAGGAACACCAAUUGCGAAGGCAGCUCGCUGGGACGUUACUGACGCUGAGACGCGAAAGCGUGGGGAGCAAACA
rnacentral:rRNA from 1 species